AUCCAGACUCCUACGGGAGGCAGCAGUGGGGAAUAUUGCACAAUGGGGGAAACCCUGAUGCAGCGACGCCGCGUGAGCGAUGAAGUAUUUCGGUAUGUAAAGCUCUAUCAGCAGGGAAGAAGAUGACGGUACCUGACUAAGAAGCCCCGGCUAACUACGUGCCAGCAGCCGCGGUAAUACGUAGGGGGCAAGCGUUAUCCGGAUUUACUGGGUGUAAAGGGAGCGUAGACGGCGGCGCAAGCCAGAUGUGAAAGCCCGGGGCUCAACUCCGGGACUGCAUUUGGAACUGUGUGGCUGGAGUGUCGGAGAGGCGGGCGGAAUUCCUAGUGUAGCGGUGAAAUGCGUAGAUAUUAGGAGGAACACCAGUGGCGAAGGCGGCCUGCUGGACGAUGACUGACGUUGAGGCUCGAAAGCGUGGGGAGCAAACAGGAUUAGAUACCCCAGUAU
rnacentral:rRNA from 1 species